rnacentral:rRNA from 1 species
GUGAGGAAUUUUGCGCAAUGGCCGCAAGGCUGACGCAGCAACGCCGCGUGGGUGAUGAAGGCCUUAGGGUUGUAAAGCUCUUUCAGCUGGGAAGAUAAUGACGGUACCAGCAGAAGAAGCCCCGGCUAACUCCGUGCCAGCAGCCGCGGUAAUACGUAGGGUGCGAGCGUUAAUCGGAAUUACUGGGCGUAAAGCGUGCGCAGGCGGUUUUGUAAGAUCGAUGUGAAAUCCCCGGGCUCAACCUGGGAACUGCAUUGGUGACUGCAAGGCUGGAGUGCGGCAGAGGGGGAUGGAAUUCCGCGUGUAGCAGUGAAAUGCGUAGAUAUGCGGAGGAACACCGAUGGCGAAGGCAAUCCCCUGGGCCUGCACUGACGCUCAUGCACGAAAGCGUGGGGAGCAAACAGGAUUAGAAACCCCUGUAGUCC